UCGUGGGGCAGCGCAGUGUAGCAAUACAUGGGCGGCGACCGGCAAACGGGUGCGGAACACGUACACAACCUUCCUACAAGUGGGGAAUAGCCCAGAGAAAUUUGGAUUAAUACCCCGUAACAUAUAAAGAUGGCAUCAUUUUUAUAUUAUAGCUACGGCGCUUGUUGAUGGGUGUGCGGCUGAUUAGGUAGUUGGCGGGGUAAUGGCCCACCAAGCCUGCGAUCAGUAGCUGAUGUGAGAGCAUGAUCAGCCACACGGGCACUGAGACACGGGCCCGACUCCUACGGGAGGCAGCAGUAAGGAAUAUUGGACAAUGGGCGCAAGCCUGAUCCAGCCAUGCCGCGUGAAGGAUUAAGGUCCUCUGGAUUGUAAACUUCUUUUAUAAGGGACGAAAAAAGGGAAUUCUUUCUCACUUGACGGUACCUUAUGAAUAAGCACCGGCUAACUCCGUGCCAGCAGCCGCGGUAAUACGGAGGGUGCAAGCGUUAUCCGGAUUCACUGGGUUUAAAGGGUGCGUAGGCGGGUAUUUAAGUCAGUGGUGAAAUCCUAGAGCUUAACUCUAGAACUGCCAUUGAUACUAUUUAUCUUGAAUAUUGUGGAGGUAAGCGGAAUAUGUCAUGUAGCGGUGAAAUGCUUAGAUAUGACAUAGAACACCUAUUGCGAAGGCAGCUUACUACGCAUAUAUUGACGCUGAGGCACGAAAGCGUGGGGAUCAAACAGGAUUAGAUACCCUGGUAGUCCACGCCCUAAACGAUGGAUACUCGACAUACGCGAUACACUGUGUGUGUCUGAGCGAAAGCAUUAAGUAUCCCACCUNNGAAGUACGACCGCAAGGUUGAAACUCAAAGGAAUUGGCGGGGGNNNNNNNNNNNNNU
rnacentral:rRNA from 1 species